CGCUCUCUCUGGCAGCUUGCACUCUCUGACUUUAACCCUUAAGGCAUCGAGCAUAUGUUCCCUAUACUGGAAGCCCAGGUUCCCUCCCUUAUCUCCCCCUUACAAUUAUCCAGCGGAGAUAUCCUGCCUCCCACGCGGGGGCUCCCAUUCCCGCUCCCGCUGCCCGGGAUAGCUGCCAGCGUCGCCAGGAUUUCGGGAAGCUACAACUUGCCCUGGCUUCUGCAGUCCUCAAGAAAUUGAACCUGCAAACCUGGUCAGAAUGGAGGGAGGAAGAUGGAUAGCUGACCUGGUCAAACUGUCUCCCGCAUCCCUCCCUACAACCUCUAAGCAUCCCCUCCCGGGCCCCUUGGAGAAAUCUGGUGAAGAAGAUGAUGGUCAGGAUUCCAUGGAGCCAUCUGUGAAUCCAUUGGAAACAGCAAAGAAACAGUUUGAAUGCAUGGAGUGUGGAAAGAGCUUCAGUCUAUAUGGAGGCCUUAGAAUACAUCAACGA